rnacentral:rRNA from 1 species
GAUGAACGCUGGCGGCGUGCCUAAUACAUGCAAGUCGAGCGAACAGAUUAGGAGCUUGCUCCUUUGACGUUAGCGGCGGACGGGUGAGUAACACGUGGGUAACCUACCUAUAAGACUGGGAUAACUUCGGGAAACCGGAGCUAAUACCGGAUAAUAUUUCGAACCGCAUGGUUCGAUAGUGAAAGAUGGUUUUGCUAUCACUUAUAGAUGGACCCGCGCCGUAUUAGCUAGUUGGUAAGGUAACGGCUUACCAAGGCGACGAUACGUAGCCGACCUGAGAGGGUGAUCGGCCACACUGGAACUGAGACACGGUCCAGACUCCUACGGGAGGCAGCAGUAGGGAAUCUUCCGCAAUGGGCGAAAGCCUGACGGAGCAACGCCGCGUGAGUGAUGAAGGUCUUCGGAUCGUAAAACUCUGUUAUUAGGGAAGAACAUACGUGUAAGUAACUGUGCACGUCUUGACGGUACCUAAUCAGAAAGCCACGGCUAACUACGUG